GAGCUCAAAUUUAAAAUCUGGCAGGCUACGCCUGUCCGAAUUGUAAUCUCSAGAAGUGUUUUCCGCGUUGGCCUGUGUACAAGUCCCUUGGAACAGGGCGUCAUASAGGGUGAGAAUCCCGUCCUUGACACAGACACCCAAUGCUUUGUGAUACACUCUCAGAUGAGUCGAGUUGUUUGGGAAUGCAGCUCAAAAUGGGUGGUAAAUUCCAUCUAAAGCUAAAUACUGGCGAGAGACCGAUAGCGAACAAGUACCGUGAGGGAAAGAUGAAAAGCACUUUGGAAAGAGAGUCAAACAGUACGUGAAAUUGUUGAAAGGGAAACGAUUGAAGUCAGUCGUGCCUGCCUAGAUUCAGCCUUCUGGUGUAUUUCUAGGUCGGCAGGUCAGCAUCAGUUUGGGGGGGUUAACAAGGGGGCUGGGAAUGUGGCAACCUCGGUUGUGUUAUAGCCCAGUUUCGCAUUGAUCUCGCUGGACUGAGGAACGCAUGGCGCCCGCAAGGGUUGGUCUUCGGACACAUUCGCACUUAGGAUGCUGGCAUAAUGGCUUUAAACGACCCGUCUUGAAC
rnacentral:rRNA from 1 species